CAGGGAUGCUUAUUGUUCCCAUGGCGACAGUGGACCACGCUCUCAGAAGCCAGCACAGGGAGGAGGAAGCCUAGAGCCACAGACAACAGAAGCCCCAACACACCUGACAGCCAGGAAAGAAAAAAACAGAGAUCAUCUAUAACAAGGCCCUUCUUUCACCUGGAUAAGGCAACUAAGACCCAGGGACAUAAAAUGAGCUGCCCAAGGCCACAUGGGAAUUACAUGAAAAAGAUUCAUCAAAGCUGCUUCUUCCUGGACUUCUGUAAGAAAAUAUAAACAUUAGCAAUGGAAAGAUUGGAGAAGAGAAGAGACAAAAGAGAGAGGGAGAGUGCACAAGACUGACCUGUGAACACAUCACUCCCCUGCUCCGGUGGCUCCCUACUGCCUGUGAGAAUCUACAGGACAAAAUAGAAACUCCUCAGGUAUGUAGGGCCUCCUCUAGUCUGAGAUCAACUUGUGUUCCCAGUCUUGUUUCAACCUUCAUACACUAGGCUUCAGCCUAGCAAUGACCAGCUGUGCCCUGCUGCACUCUCCCACCUCCUGGCAUCCACAAAGGGCAUCCUACAAACCUGAAGUGCAUUUCAUAGUCUUCUCUCACUGCUGAAAUCCGUCUCUUCUUGUAAAGCCUAGGCCCAGGUGUCAUCAUCCCCCUCGCAAAGCCUUCCUUCCUCUCCCCAACAGAAAGUGAUUCCCCCUCCUUACAUUUUCUUUCGGCACCAUGGCUGGAUCUCUCCCUCGCCCACAUCAAAUUCUAAGUUGUAUCGUUUAUGUGCAUUUAUUAUCCCCUGAAUGAAAUGUCAUUUCCUUGAGGAAAUCUGCUCUGCUGCCCUUGUUUAUUUGCCCAGUGUCUGAGCAGCACCUUGCCUUGUACACAGCAAGCAUAUGAUAAAUGUCUGGUACAGAAUACAUCAUUCCUCUGAGAGGUUUCUCUAAAACUUAGAGAAACGAUAUAAAAUCACCCAAACAAAUAAAUGGAUAUUACGCUUAAUGAUUUGCUUUAAACCCACGUUUGGCAAAUUACAUGAUAGAAAGUGGAACUGUACACUGAUGAGCCACAGAGGAGUAUUUUAAGUUCCUAUUCACGACCUCAACCAGGUGAGAAUGGCUGCCAUUAGUGCCCCCUAAAGAGAGGAGUCCUUAUCACCUCAGGACAAAGUCACAGAGCCCAUGCUCCCUUUCUUCAUCAUCACCAUCCUACAGAGACAAAUGUGGGCAGGGUUCUGAAUGCCCAUGAUACUUGGGGCUUGAAUAGGAUGACCUCCCUCCAUAGGGAAAAGAUAACAAAGGAACAUACAGAGAGGUCAGAGGCACACAGUUCAGACAUCAGCCAAGUAUGAAAUAAGCACCACUACCAGCUCUGAGCCCACUCUGGUCAAAGACUUUGAGCUCUAAGUGUCCCUGGAGCUCUUGCUCUGCUCAACGCUGGGCUAACUUCUGUUGCCAAACUCCAUUGGGAUAAAGAAAUAAAGAAUACGACUUGUAAAAAUAAAAAUUGGAUCUGUGAUGUCCUCAUUGUAAAGAAAUCUUAGGGGCAAGCUUCCUGGACAUAUACUAUACUUAGCAGGGGAAAAGUAUG